rnacentral:snoRNA from 1 species
GCUGGAAUGGGAUGAGCUGUCUAAUUUUGGCUGGUUACAUGAUGAGUAAAACAAAAAAUCACCAUCUUUCGGCUGACAAGU